AUCUUCAGGGCAGGGUGCGAUUCCCUACCGGUGGUAAAGCCCACGAGCCGGAAGGCAUGAUUCGGUGAAACUCCGAAGCCGACAGUAAAGUCUGGAUGAAAGAAGAU
rnacentral:ncRNA from 1 species